UACGGGGGGGGCAAGCGUUGUUCGGAAUUACUGGGCGUAAAGGGCUCGUAGGCGGCCAACUAAGUCGGAUGUGAAAUCCCCAAGCUUAACUUGGGAACUGCAUCCGAUACUGGAUGGCUUGAAUCCGGGAGAGGGAUGCAGAAUUCCAGGUGUAGCGGUGAAAUGCGUAGAUAUCUGGAGGAAUACCGGUGGCGAAGGCGGCAUCCUGGACCGGCAUUGACGCUGAGGAGCGAAAAGCUAGGGGGAGCAAACGGG
rnacentral:rRNA from 1 species